rnacentral:rRNA from 1 species
GGAUAGCCUCGCGAAAGCGUGAUUAAUACCGGGUACUCCGGCACCUCCGCAUGGCGGUGCCGGGAGAGCGUUAGCGGCGGGGGAUGGGCCCGCGGCCUGUUAGCUAGUUGGCGGGGCAACGGCCCACCAAGGCGAUUAUGGGUAGCCGGGUUGAGAGACCGACCGGCCAGAUUGGGACUGAGACACGGCCCAGACUCCUACGGGAGGCAGCAGUGGGGAAUCUUGCGCAAUGGGGGGAACCCUGACGCAGCGACGCCGCGUGCGGGACGAAGGCCCUAGGGUCGUAAACCGCUUUCAGCAGGGAAGAGGCCGCGAGGUGACGGUACCUGCAGAAGAAGCCCCGGCUGAAUACGUGCCAGCAGCCGCGGUAAUACGUAUGGGGCGAGCGUUAUCCGGAUUCAUUGGGCGUAAAGCGCGCGUAGGCGGCCUGGCAGGCCGGGAGUCAAAUCCGGGGGCUCAACCCCCGCCCGCUCCCGGAACCUCCGGGCUUGAGUCUGGCAGGGGAGGGUGGAAUACCCGGUGUAGCGGUGGAAUGCGCAGAUAUCGGGUAGAACACCGGUGGCGAAGGCGGCCCUCUGGGCCACGACUGACGCUGAGGCGCGAAAGCUGGGGGAGCGAACAGGAUUAGAUACCCUGGUAGUCCCAGCCGUAAACGAUGGACGCUAGGUGUGGGGGGACGAUCCCCCCGUGCCGCAG